rnacentral:lncRNA from 1 species
CUUUACCUUCAACCUGUUCAAAGUUCCCUACAGCAAAUUCUCCAGGAAGCUGCCAGUUUUGGCAUGGCCCCGUAAUCUGUUCCCUUGAAAACUGUGAGGGCCUUGUGAGGCAGAGGCACGGCCCGGGGCAAACAGCCGUAUUGUGUCUGUGGGACUCCUGCAGAGAUAAAGCUGUCCCUCCAGCUCAGAUCUGGGGAGAUGUCCCCAACCUUCUGUGCGGGUAAGCGGCGUGGAUAAGCAGUGUACUUGGCCAGAAAGUCUCUGCGUGACCUCAUGUGUGUGUCUGGAGAAUGUCAGGACCGCUCGCCGGAGAUAAGGAAGAAGAGUCGGCCCCAGACAGGGAAGAUGUGGAAGGAAGGGUGGGCAACACUGCCUCUGCAUGAUGGAUCUUAGGGAAAGUAAAUUUGUCGUACGCUUAUUCACAUCCAACUGCUUAAGGCUAGGCAUUUUUGUCUCUCUGAGCUCUGCCCUAGGGGUGCUGGUGUGCGAAGAAGUGAAACCAAGUGAAGGGGACUCGGUUUUUAAAAGGAGUGAUGUGCCUUUCCUGAGGUGGCAUAAACCUAGGAAAUCUGUGAGCUCUGACAAAAAUUAGCUUAAACAUGACCGUAGCAUGCUGCCAGCCCAGUGCUUUCAUCAGCCUGGGUGAGGCCUAAGCCAGCAGCAAGCUGCGAGCCACCAGCUUCAUCAGGGGUGCUUUGGUGAGAGGGUCUGCUGUGUGAGCAAUGUCUGCUUUUGGUCUCACACAGGAAUGGACCAGUAUAGCUUCAUACACCCUAUAUAAAGUGAACAUCUUCAGCAGGUGCAUGCAUCAGGCCUCUGCCUGCACUUAAUGGCCCUGAGCAACCUCACCUGAGGCCUCACCCACGCCCUGCCCAUGGUCCCUGGGCCCUAUUUAAGCUCAUCCCAGGGCCUCCAUUUCUGUUUGAGCUCCUGGGCUGUUGGUCUUUGGCCUUGCUGCUGCCUCCUUGGGCCUGUGCUGGAGUUGGAUCUAUUCUGGAGGGCCCCUUGUGAAAGCAAACAGUGCCUUUUCCUCAGGAGCUGGAGGAUGAAUUGCUUGGAUCAAGGUGGAGUUCCUCAGACUGCCAGGAUGGUGCUAGCCCUUCUGCUUCUGGAAUAGCAACUCUUCAUCUGUGUAUUCAGCUGAAACACAUAAGCAUGCACCAAAGAAACUGAUCCUCCUCUUCUCUAGUGAAGUAUCUGAGUCACGGCUGUCACUGCAGAAAAUGUAUAGCAAUAUUUGGGGGAAAGGAAAACACAUUAAGGCUGAGGAGUGCAUCUGGAUUCUUUAAGCAUUCCCCCGGCUGUAUCUACACUUUGGAGCUGAUGGUAUCAAGGGAACCAGUAACAACAUGGUAAUCUCCAGCAAAACACAGCUUGCACUUUAACUGUGUCCAGAGACUACUGUGCAAGCAAGCACCUUUGUGUGCCUCAAUUUCACAGCCUGGGUGAGACUUCCACAGGGGGGUGGUCGGGCCCAGCUUGCCAGGCGCUGAGCUCCUCUGUGCUGGAGCUGCUCUGCUCCGGGUGGGGACAGAUCCCAUUAAAUCAGAGCUGUGAGUGGUGAAGGACCCAUCAUGGUAUGGUGUGAGCGAGGCCACAGACUGGAAUGAGCUUAUUACUGUCUGAAGCUCUGACAAGUAUAUUGCUGCAGCUUUCAGAUGUUCUGCAGUCAUAAUACCGAUUGCUGUGAGGUGAGCUGAAUUUCUGAUGUGAGCACCAGUAUAAUUGCCAAGGAUCUGCAUGGUACCAUGGCCCUCAAUAGUUCAGCUUCCUUAUCUGCCCAGACUGGGAGCAGAGAAGCUGAACACUCAGCUAGCAGCUCCUGGUGCUUGCUCUGUGCUGAGGCUUUUUAAUUGUCAAAGGAAUCUAGGUAUCUCAGUUAUUCAGCCAGGAUCUUGAGUUUCUUUCAGCACUGCUAAUUUCACUAAUUUCUUAAGUUUCAGUGUACUUAGGAAAAGAGCUGAAGCGGGCAGGGAUUGUGCAGCAGAGAGCAGUCACAAGUUGUGCCCCAUAUCUCAAACCAGGUGUGGUUUUGUAGAUUCAAAGGGGGAAAUGAAACUUUUGCCUUGGAUUCAGUGAGCUGUGCUGUUGGUUCAGCUGCUGGCAGCGUGCUCUUGGUGUAGCCAGCACCACUGUCACCCAUUUGUCAUCAGACUGAAUCACCCAGGGAAGGUUUGGUGGUGAGACAAUGGAACAAAGUCAGCUCUGGUGUUUGAUGUUCCUGGGGGGGGGAAAUGAAGAAAGGACUUUCUCUGAGUUUUUAUCCAAACUGAUGGUUUAGCUAUGAUCUGGAGAGCGCUGAGGUGGGCAGGAAGAAUGGGAAUGCAGUUUGAAGAUGAAAUUCGUGUUUAGGCUGCUCCCAGGUGUACUAUAAAUAUUACUCCAAAGUCCAGUUACAGAAACCUCUGAAUUGUCUGGCAUCUCUUGAAAUCUGAAUAUUGCCUCCCCUAAAACUAUGACUAGACAACAGAAACAACAUAGAUAAAUGUCAUCUGUGUUUUUUAUCACUGCUGUCAAUUAGAGCCUAGCAUAACUCAGAAAUGUCAGUGUUAAUUCUGAGUUAUUGUAUCUGACUGUCCCCAAGAGACCAAGGUUUCUGAAAAUUGGAAAAACCUCUCCCACUUGAGAGUUAAACGAGGGAAUGGUUUUACUGGUAGCUUCACAGCACUUGCUUAAUGAUAUGAGCUCGGUGUAUCCACACAGCUAUUUCAUUGCUAAUAUUUUGUAAGGUGUUCAUUUAAUUUCUGUAUGUCUGCUUUUAGAUAGAUACAAGAAAUUGACUAUUUUGGUGUCUUUGUAUGUGUAGAUUAAUAAAAUCUGACUUUUAACCA